CAGCAGCCGCGGUAAUAUGUAGGUGGCAAGCGUUGCCCGGAAUUAUUGGGCGUAAAGGGCUCGCAGGCGGUUUCUUAAGUCUGAUGUGAAAGCCCCCGGCUCAACCGGGGAGGGUCAUUGGAAACUGGGAAACUUGAGUGCAGAAGAGGAGAGUGGAAUUCCACGUGUAGCGGUGAAAUGCGUAGAGAUGUGGAGGAACACCAGUGGCGAAGGCGACUCUCUGGUCUGUAACUGACGCUGAGGAGCGAAAGCGUGGGGAGCGAACAGGAUUAGAUACCCGGGUAGUCCCUGUCUCUUAUAC
rnacentral:rRNA from 1 species